rnacentral:tRNA from 1 species
GGGCCUGUGGCUCAGGUGGUUAGAGCGCACCCCUGAUAAGGGUGAGGUCACAGGUUCAAGUCCUGUCAGGCCCACCA